rnacentral:rRNA from 1 species
UCGGAAUCUACUCUGUCGUGGGGGAGUAACGUAGGGAAACUUACGCUAAUACCGCAUACGACUACGGUGAAGCAGGGGAUCUUCGGACCUUGCGCGAUUGAAUGAGCCGAUGUCGGAUUAGCUAGUUGGCGGGGUAAAGGCCCACCAAGGCGACGAUCCGUAGCUGGUCUGAGAGGAUGAUCAGCCACACUGGAACUGAGACACGGUCCAGACUCCUACGGGAGGCAGCAUCA